AUGAAAGACGAUCAAUUCCUUCGAUUUCGUCUCUUCAAGGAUCGACUCAACUCCAAGAGCAACCUCUUCAAGAAGACCAUCACCCCCAACGGCCACUGCCCCAUAUGCAACGCUCCAGUUGAUGACGACCUUCACAUGUUCAUUCAGUACCCCAUAGGCAUCCAAAUUUGGGAUGCCCUAUUCCUCUUGGUGCCGCCCUCCAUCGAGCUCAUUUGGGAUACCCCCAUGUUGUCGAACCUCCACGGUGACAUUAGGUCGUCGAUUGCUCUCUCCUUGCUAUGGAAAAUUUGGGAUUCCAGAAACAUUCUUGUCUUUUGCAACGAACUCCACUCCGCAAGGACCAAUGUUAGAAAUUUAGCUAGUGACUUCACUCUUUGA
rnacentral:rRNA from 1 species